rnacentral:rRNA from 1 species
UACGUAGGGGGCAAGCGUUAUCCGGAUUUACUGGGUGUAAAGGGAGCGUAGACGGUUAUGUAAGUCUGGAGUGAAGGCCCGGGGCCCAACCCCGGGACUGCUUUGGAAACUGUGUAACUGGAGUACAGGAGGGGCAAGCGGAAUUCCUGGUGUAGCGGUGAAAUGCGUAGAUAUUAGGAGGAACACCAGUGGCGAAGGCGGCCUGCUGGACGGUGACUGACGCUGAGGCUCGAAAGCGUGGGGAGCAAACAGG